CGGUGCUGAUAUAGCAGUAUAUCAGGUAAAAGGGAAACAGGUGUGAAUCCUGUACGAUCUCGUCACUGUAAGCAGAGAGUACAUUUCGAAAGCUCCUCGGAGCGAUCCACUGGGAAACCGGGAAGGAAGAAAUGUAUGAUGACCUGUAAGUCAGGAAACCUGCCUGUUGUU
rnacentral:ncRNA from 1 species